rnacentral:lncRNA from 1 species
GGAGUAGGUUAGGUUAUGUGUAUUAUAUAUAGGGCUCAUUGUAUCAUGUUUAAUAUCAAGAUAUAUAUUUUUCUCCCGUGCUUUCUCACAGUUUUGUUAUCCAGGACCUCAACUCAAAGAAGCCGAUUGACAGGGGUAACUUGCAAGGAGGGAUUUACGAAAUGGGGCUUUCGCAAUAAGUGCAGUUGUGAAGAGUCAAGAGAAGGUGUUCAUAUGAAAAUAUGUCAAAGUUGACUGAAAUUUUGGG